GAUGAACGCUGGCGGCGUGCCUAAUACAUGCCAGUCGAGCGAACAGACGAGGAGCUUGCUCCUCUGACGUUAGCGGCGGACGGGUGAGUAACACGUGGAUAACCUACCUAUAAGACUGGGAUAACUUCGGGAAACCGGAGCUAAUACCGGAUAAUAUAUUGAACCGCAUGGUUCAAUAGUGAAAGACGGUUUUGCUGUCACUUAUAGAUGGAUCCGCGCCGCAUUAGCUAGUUGGUAAGGUAACGGCUUACCAAGGCAACGAUGCGUAGCCGACGUGAGAGGGUGAUCGGCCACACUGGAACUGAGACACGGUCCAGACUCCUACGGGAGGCAGCAGUAGGGAAUCUUCCGCAAUGGGCGAAAGCCUGACGGAGCAACGCCGCGUGAGUGAUGAAGGUCUUCGGAUCGUAAAACUCUGUUAUUAGGGAAGAACAAAUGUGUAAGUAACUAUGCACGUCUUGACGGUACCUAAUCAGAAAGCCACGGCUAACUACGUG
rnacentral:rRNA from 1 species